AAAGGGGUACCAAUUAUUUGUAAAUAUAAAUAGACCUUUCUAGAGCUUAUUUUCACCCGUAAAAUCAUUUCACCAGUUUCUCUGCACGAAUACCGAGAGAAACCGAGCGGUGUUCUUCGUGUUCUUCAUAAUCAAACGAAGAUUUGAAGGUGUUAUUGGAGUCAGAAUCAAGCGUGCAAAUAGUCAAAUCGAAGAUAUCGAAGAGUAGAACCCAAAUCAAUCAUCAAAAACAACAUGAGAUUCACAGGUAGGGAGUAAUUGAAGUUUUAAAAUUCGAAUUAUUAUAAUUUUAAAGAUGAAUUUUUGUAAACGAUCUUGUUUGAUUGUUUUGAUGAUUCCAUGUUGUAGAGCGUGUUUUUCUCGUCGUUUUGGUAUAUUAUAUGUUGAAUUUGGGGUUCGGAAUCAUAUAGAAACAGUGGUUUAAUUCUUGAGUAGGUGUUCUUGAGUGUUCUUCGUGGGUUAUGAAUAUUUUCAAUUGAGAUUUGGGCGUUUCUUAUCUGUUAAUCACAUGAGCAAUCGGUUGAUAUGGUUGGAUAGAGCGUGAAGAGAGGAACUUGUGGGUAUGUUCAAAAGUUAUGUGGGAUUCCCGGAAAGGGGUCACCGGAGUUUCGAAAGAAACUCGCCGGCGGGUUUUUGCUUCGAUUUUCCGGCCAUUCUUUGCGACGAUUGGUGAUUCUGAUCAAGUGUGUAGGUUCCUGGUGAUCGGUAGUCGAGUUAUGCGUAGUUUGGUGGCCGCCCGAGGCCUGUUUAGCCGAUUCCGGCGAGUCAGGGGUGCCAACGGCGACAAAGUGCCGUUUGGUCACCCAACUUAUGAAGAUGAUGAAGUUAUUGUAUUCGAGUUUUGAAAAUUACAAAUUACCCCCUGGAACUUUUGGAAAGUUACACUUUAAACCCUGGGCCAAAACUUUCAAAAGUUUACAAAAUAAACCUUUUGAUUUAAUUUUCUAAAAUUGUUUUAUUUAAUUAUUUUAAAUUCCAAAAAUAGUUUUUAAUUAUUUCUUUAUUCAAAAAUAAAUCUAAAUUAGUUUGUUAAUUAAUUUUAAUUAGUAAUUAAUUAUUUUAAUUGGUCAAUUAAUUUAAAUAUUAAUUGAUUAAUUAUUUUAAUUAAUUAUUAAUUGAUUUUAAUUGAUUAAUUAAUUGGAUUUAAUUAAUCCUUUUUGAUUUAAAAAUUCCGAAAAAUAGUUUCGAGCUUUAAAAUAUUUUUACAAAUUAUUUUCAAGGCUCGAUAAUUGUUUAUGAAUGAUUUCAAGUCCAAUUUCAAGUAUUUGGGAUUUGAUUAUUUAUUCGAAAAGUGAUUCUUUUAUCGAUUUUAAUUCCGAAAAAUGUUUAAAAAUUCCAGAAAAUUCCCGAAAAAUCAUUUUAAACCCAGGAAGUGAUUUGACAUCAAUUGGGAUGGGAGACUUAAUGUGUAAUGUGUUGUCUGCUAUUGGUUGGAUGUCUUAUGUGUCGAUAUAAUAGUGAGAAAACGGUUUUAAACAUAUCUUUUGAUCCGUAAGUCGGAAUCGAGUGAAACGGAAGAGAGAUGAAAGCUUAUAAAGUCUAGUUUGAUAUGACAUAAUAAUAUGAUGGAGUCGAGAAUGUGAAUAAUUGUUGAUUAAUGUGCACAAUGUGAUUAUAUGUUAUUUGAUUGCUAUUAAUUGAUGAGUACGUGAUAUAUAUGUCUAUUCCUGAUAUUAUAUAUGUGAUAAAUGACUUAUAUGACAUAGUGUCAUGAUUUGAUUAAUAUUGGAUAAGAACAUAUGGAUUAUGGUGAUUGGAUUUGGUUGGUUGAUUGUUGAUGGAGAUAGGAUAACAUGUGGAUAGUCUAAUAAAUAGACGAGAUGCUGUCAAAUUUUCGAUAGGACUUAUAUGAUAAGUGAUUUGUGAUAUGUUAUGUGGAAUAUGACUUGACUAUAUGGUAGAGUCAAAGCAUGAUUACGUGUUAAGUGAUAUGUGAUAAGUUUAAAGGGGUAUAUAAGUGGGUAUCGAUAUGCGUGAUAUGUAUAUACGAUCGAUUGAUUAGUGAUUAUAUUAUUAUCUUAUUCUCGUUAAGGAUUGGACGAGACGUGGAUGACCGAAGACGUUCAGAAGGACAAGUGGUGUUCCAAAGCGAAUAAAGAAUGAGUCGAGUAAGCGAAGUGCUGUGGCGAAUAGAGUAUAGCUAGAGAUGGUCUAGAGAUUAUAAGAUGCAUAUAUUGUGAAAGUGGAAAGUUGAGAAUGAGCUGUGAGACGGGAGUCAGAUUUAAGGCAAGUAUCCUAUACCCUUCUUUUGGAUAUCUUGCGAUUAUUCUGAUCCAUUAUUCUCGUAUGUGUUGCAAAUAUUCGUUCCUCUCUUUUUCAUAUUUGGCAAGUGCAAAUAUUUUUAUCCAUCCUUUUCUAAUCCUCAAAAAUUCAGAUAAUUCCAGUUUUACAAAUUAAUUCGAAGUUCAGAUUGUCAUUGAAGCAUGUGUUGCUCAGUGAUGAUUAGAACCUAGAAUGACUUGGGAUCUUCUUGAUUAUUCAACCCGCCAUUGUCAUGCUGGUUUAGCAGGCUAAAUUCAGUUGCUUAGCCGAUAAUGGAGGAUACUGAAUAGUUAAGGAUUUCCUGAACUAUGAUUUAUGGAAGGAUGGACUCUGGUUUAUGAAAAGUUGAUUAUCAAAGUUUGAUUUGGAAUUAUUCUAUCAUGGAUAUUGAUUGUGUUUAUGUUCUGUUGUUAUACGUUGACCUGUUAUUGAAUUAUAGAAUUGGAUUAUUGUUUUUAUAUAAACCUGUGGACCAGAUUCGUGGUCAUGUUAGGCCAAUGAGUGCCUUGGAUCCAGUGAUAGAGCAUGGCGGGGCCUGCUCGGGGUUAGUGCGGAACUGAUCAGCUGCCUAACCUUGGUUUUAAUUAAAAUGUGAUAGUCCAAUUCAAUAAUUCUUUGGAAAGAUUGAAUUUCUCAGUUUAAAUGAUGCAAGGUAUUGUAAAUCAUUCUAUACAAUACCAUGAACUCAUGAACUCAGGUUGAAUUCUCUUAUAUCUUGAACUCGUGAACUUCUGUUAUAUCAUUUCAGAACUAUCAUUGUUUAUUAUUACUUGCUGAGCAUUGUUGCUCACCCUUGCUAUUCCUUUCUAACCAUUUCAGAAAGGCUGAAAGAUAAGAUGAUUGAUUGAGAUUGUGGAUAAGGCUAAUGCUAGGCGAGGAGACAGAGUUGAGGAUCCAGUGGUCGAGGAGUAUUCAGGAAAGUUGAUAAGGUUGGUGCUAGCUAGAGUUAUGCUAUGAAGUUUCAGAUGUAAGUCAUGGCUGGAGUAAGUUGACAGUGAUUCUUCUUAUCGAAGAUGAUCUGAUUUGGUAAGGGAUGUUGUGUAGUAUUAGUGGUGGAUUCUAAUUUCAAUACUGUAACCUGGAAGCGAUCCUGUUGUUUUUGGGGGUUAAAAUGUUCUCUUUCGAAUCAGCUAUUAAAGUUUAAAUGUUCUCUGAAAAGUUCUUUUAUGAUGGUUUUCAAAUUUAAAAUUCAGGUUUUGAAAUCAUUUGAUUUAUGUUCUCAUACAAAUCUUUUAUUAAAUGUUUCAAGUUUUAAAUUCUUGUGGAUUUUCAUUAUCUUUAAUAAAAAUACAGGGUUUCACAAGUGUUUUAAAAAGGGUUUUGUGUGGUGACGUCAGAAUCCAGACCCCCGGAUUCCUGGACUGUCACAGUUGGUAUCAGAGCAACAGGUUAUAAGUAUUUGAAAUUAGAAUAUAGAUCAUAGUUAUAGGUUUUCUAGAGAAGAAUGUUGGGUGACCUCGGAUAGAGGUAUUGUGAGACUAUUUAGAAAUAGUCUAGGGAUGUGAUAGAGAAAUAGAAUCUAGUUAAAUGAUUAAGUUGAGUGCAUAAGUUUAAAGAGAUUUUGAUUCCUAAGUUAGACAUAUGAUUUUUAGUAUGUUGACUAAUUGAGAUGAUGAAUUGUGAGAAAGGUCAGUAUUAGACCUAUACAGAAGAGUUUGAUAAUGAAUGACUGAGUUGAAAAUGGUGAAAAUGCAGAGUUCAGAGUAUUCUGACUAUACUGCAUAUUUGAAAUUAGAUUAUUGUAUUGAUUUGAGGAUGAUAUAAAUGCAUGGUUCAUAGUAUGUUGACCAUGUCAGAUAUUUGAAAGAUGUAUAUUGUUUUGGAGUGAAGAUAUGAACAGUAAGUGUAGAGUAUGAGUUGUAUUGGAUUAGAAGGAGAGAUUGGUAGAUAGAGGUUGAUAGGUGAGAAGUGAAUGAUAGAGAGUACGUGGAAUUGAGUCCAGUUAUUAGAGAUGAUGUCUACAAGUAAGUUAGAACGUUAGUUCUCGACGACUACGCUUUAAGUUAAGCGGGACAAGGUGGGCCCAUAACCCACAGGUUGACGAGUCAGAAAAUAGAAGAUACGCUACGUGUCGUGCUAUGGAAUUCAAAGGCAACUGGAUGAAACAUGAGAACGUGAACUACUUGGGCCAGACUUAUUAUGAACUAUAACGUCUACGAUGACAUCUUACGAGGCUAUUACGAGUCAACAUCGAUCGAUUAUCGAGAACGUUGAAAAGAAGACAUAUAUCGAACAAUGAUUUAUUGAAGCAGAGUGAAAAUCUGAGAAGACCUUGGCAAUACCUCUCUUCAACUAAGAUUCUUUUGGAUUGUUUUUCUCAUCAGUGAGAUAUUAUCAUGAUAUCCUUUCGACCAAAGUUUCGAUAAAUGAGAUUUUCAAUUUCUCAAAUUCUAAGAUGACAUUAAUAUUGAUUAUUGGUGUGAGUUGGUAUUGAUUCAAGAUGUGUGAUAAAGGUUUGUUGUGAAGAGACAGUGAUGUUCCUUGAGAUAGUUUGACAUUUCUUGACAUCCUUGAUAUUCUUUCAUCUUCUUUGAUAUCCCUUGAUGUUCUUUAAUAGUUGCAAUUCUUUGACAUUCUUUGAUAUUCUCGAUAUUCUUUGACAUUCUUUGAUAUUCCUUAAUAUAUUCCUCGAUAAUCCUUAACAUUCCUUGAUGCUCCUUGAGAUUUCUUGGAUUCUUUCCAUCUGAUUGGGAUGAACAACCCUAUGUAUAGGGGACACAAGGUAUACCUGUCUGUGUGAUAGGAGUUGGAUGGGACGCCAUCACUUGUGUGUGUUGUGAUUACAAGAAGGUUAACAACCUUUAGUAGUGUCUAAUAUGGACACGCAACAUUAAGUUCAUUUGAUCGUAUUGAUCUCCCAGUCACUCUUGUAUUCCAAUGUGACCUAUUUUGAAAACAGCUUGUUCCUCCAAAAUUCUCAAAAAUUGAUUCUUGAGAAAUGAAUUCUGCAAUUGUGAAAGUGUUGAUAUUCCUAUUUCUUUAAAAUUGAAGGUAUGCCAAGGUUGAUUAAGGGCGGAUGAGCAUGUGAUGUUAUGAAACGUGUACAAUGAUUUUACAAAUGAUAUGUUUUAGUUUCUUCGGAGGAUUCCGAGGACGGAAUCCUUAUAAGGGGGGUAGAAUGUAAUAUCCCGUAUUAUUAAAUUUAGAUUUGAUUAUUAUAAAUCUAUUUGUCUAAAUAUAAUUGUUGGCUUUAAUGGAAUAGUGAUCUGAUUAUGUGAAUAGUGUGUAUGUGAUUAUACUUGUUAUGUGGAUUAAUAUGGAUUUUACAGAUUAUGCGUCCUCCUUCUUUCUCUGAUUCCGAGGACGGAAUCCCUAUAAGGAGGGUAGAUUGUAAUGACCCGGAUUUUUAAAAAUAUUUUUAUUAGUAUUAAAAGUGAUUUUCUUCAAAGAAGGGAAUAAGAUUUAAUAUUUUAUUCCAGUUUAAUGAGUUUUCAAGGUUUUAUAUUUAAACCCCGGGUUAUUGUGUUAUUGAUAAAUAAUUGUAUUUUCAAAACUGAUUUUCAUAUAUUGUUUUGAAAAUUCUGUAUGAAUAUUAUGUGAAUAUAUGUGUUAUGUGAUUAAGUGGUAUUGGUGAAUUUGUUUGUUAAUUAGUUAUGAUUAAUUAUUAAUAUUAUAUGAUUAAUAUAUGAAUUUUUGUGAAUUUUGUGUUAUCUAGUUUAUUGAGCUGAAUGCUCGUAUGUGUUCGUAUUCGCGAGAUUUCAAUUUCUAUAUGCUCAGGAGAAAAUAUAGUUUAUUUGGAUAUUUUCAUAUCGAUUUAUGGAAUGUUAGAUGAUUUUAUAAUCGAUUUACGGAUUUAAUUGCGUAUAUUUAUAUUUAUUUAUUAAUUAUUUGACUUCCGUAAAACCGUCCACUCGUAACGAGGUAGCAAAUUUUCUUCCCGGAAGUUUCAACAAAACUCACCUUUAGCCUAAUUUGAAUAUUCCGGACACUUUUCGUGUUUUGACUUUUUCGAUCCGGAGUACGGUUUUCCCCGGAGUCGGUCCGGCGGAGUUUUUCGGGUAUUUUAAUUGUUGAUAAUUAUCCAGUUUGUCUCGAUAUACGUGAAAGCCAGAUAUUUUGAUUAUUAUAUUACUUUUUAUCGAAAUACGUGCAAAUGGGACCCCCAGACCAAUGAUUGAUUUAUAAUGCCCCGUUUUGAUGAUUAUCUCGAAAACCGGUACCGAUUGGACCCCGCUUUACUAAUAUAAAGCUAUUAAAUAUCGUAUUUUCAUGUCAUAAACGAUCCAAAGGGGUACCAAUUAUUUGUAAAUAUAAAUAGCCCUUUCUACACCUUAUUUUCAACCGUAAAUCAUUUCACCAGUUUCUUUUCACGAAUACCGAGAGAAACCGAGCUGCGUUCUUCGUGUUCUUCGUAAUCAAACGAGGAUUUGAAGGUGUUAUUGGAAUCCGAUGGAGGUGUAUGAAUAGUCAAAACGAAGCUAUCGACGCGUAGAAUCUAUUACUAUCAGUGGUUUCAGUGCAGAAUCGACAGGUUUUUGCUAAUUAAGGUUUUUAAUUUCGAAUUUAUAUGAUUUAAAUGAUGAAUUUUUGAAAACGUGAUUGUUUAAUUGUUUUGAUGAUUCUAUGAUGUAGAGCAUGUUUUUCUCGUCGUUUUGGUAUAUUAUAUGUCAAAAACGGAGUUCAAUAACAUGUAGAAAAGUCAGUUUGAUUAUUGAAACUGUUGUUCUUGGUGUUCUUGAGAAAGCUCGCCGGAAAAUUCUUGUUUUGGUCGGGAUUUUGAUUCGUUAAACCUGGGCAGAAGCUAAGCAUACCAUUGAAUAGAUCUUUGAGAGUAUAAUUGAGUGGUGGUGUCAGUUUGUUCAAAGGAGGCGAAACGAGUUCGCCGGAAAAUGGAGAAGUCGGCGGUGGCGCCGACCUUCAACCGGGUUUUACGGCAAAUUGGUGAAGUGCUUGUGAAAUCUGAAAAUACGAGUGGAUUGCUGGACAUCUGUAGAGUAUAUCUGCAGCUGGUGGUCGAGUUCUGGGCUCGAUGGAGCCUCCGGCGACGUCUCCGACGUCGUUCGGCGACGGUAGGGGGUGAUGACUGUAUAAUUACAGUUUAACCCCCGAACAAAUGAAGGUGGUGACUUUUAGUCACCCGAGUUUCAAAUCUUUCAAAACAAACCCUGAUACUUCGAAAACUUGCACUUUCAACCCUGCGUUUAAACUUUUGAAUAGUAACAAUUAAAACCUUUUCAAUUAUUUUUCAAAAAUUAUUUUUUUGGUCAUUUUUUUAUAGUUUUUAAUUAUUUCUUUAUUCAAAAACAAAUCGAAAUUAGUUUAUUAAUUAAUUUCAAUUGGUAAUUAAUUAUAUUAAUUGAUCAAUUAAUUUAAAUAUUAAUUGAUUAAUUAAUUUAAUUAGUUAUUAAUUGAUUUUAAUUGAUUAAUUAAUUGGAUUUAAUUAUCCUUUUUGAUUUAAAAAUUCCGAAAAAUAGUUUCGAGCUUUAAAAUAUUUUUCCAAAUCAUGUUCAAGGCUCGACAAUUGUUUAUGAAUGAUUUCAAGUCCAGUUUUGAGCAUCCGGACUUGAUUAUUUAUUUGAAAAAUGAUUCUUUUAUCCGUUUUAAUUCCGAAAAUGUUUAAAAAUUCCAGAAAAUUCCCGAAAAAAAAUCAUUUUUAACCCAAGAGUGAUUUGAUAUCAAUUGGGGUGGGAAACCUUAUAUGUAAUGUGUUAUCUGCUUUGUGUGUGAUGUGUUAUAUGUUGAUAGUGGAGUCAGAAAACGGCUUAGAUCAUAACUUUUGAUCUGUAAGUCGGAAUCAAGUGAAACGAAAGAGAGAUAGAAGCUCGUGAAGUCUAUUUUAAUAUGACAAGAUAAUAUGAUUGAAUCUAGAAUGUGAUUAUAUGCUAUGUAAUAUGCAAUAUGUAACCAUACGUGAUUUGUUUGUUAUGAAUUGAUGAUUACGUGAUAUAUGUGGUUAUUCCUAAUAUAGUACAUAUGUGAUAAAUGACUUAUAUGACAUAGUGUCAUGAUUUGAUAAGAACAUAUGGAUUAUAGGAAUUGGAAUUGGUUGAUUGGUUGUUGGUUGGGAAUAGGUUGACAGGUGGAUAGUCUUAUAACUAGACAAGAUGCUGGCAGAUUUUCGAUAUGAUUUAUAUGAUUAUUGAUUAUAACAUGUUAUGUAGAAUAUGACUUGACUAUAUGAUAAAGUCAAAGAAUGAUUAUGUGCUAAGUGAUAUGUGAUAAGUUUAAAGGGGUAUAUAAGUGGGUAUCGAUAUACGUGAUAUGUAUAUGCGAUAUAUUGUUUAGUGACUAUAGUAUUAUCUUAUUCUCGUAAAGGAUUUGGACGAGACGUGUACGCUCGAAGACGUCAGAAAGUCGGAAUGGUAUUGCAAAGCGAAUAAGGGAUGAAUCGAGUAAGCGAAGCGAUGUGGCGAAUAG
rnacentral:lncRNA from 1 species